rnacentral:rRNA from 1 species
CUUUAUGGAGAGUUUGAUCCUGGCUCAGGACGAACGCUGGCGGCGUGCCUAAUACAUGCAAGUCGAGCGGAUUCAUCCUUCGGGAUGA